UACAGAGGGGGCAAGCGUUGUUCGGAAUUACUGGGCGUAAAGGGCGCGUAGGCGGCCCGCUAAGUCGAACGUGAAAUCCCUGGGCUCAACCCAGGAACUGCGUCCGAUACUGGCGGGCUUGAAUACGGGAGAGGGAUGUGGAAUUCCAGGUGUAGCGGUGAAAUGCGUAGAUAUCUGGAGGAACACCGGUGGCGAAGGCGGCAUCCUGGACCGGUAUUGACGCUGAUGCGCGAAAGCCAGGGGAGCAAACGGG
rnacentral:rRNA from 1 species